CACAAGAGCCGGGGGCAGUGGGGAAACCAGGAAGUCUGCAGGCACGACGGUCAGGGGAGGAGCUUUUUUAACAAAUCUAAGGGUGCAGGGAUCACUUUCACCUAGCAAGCUGCUCAGCCUUGUUUCUUUUGUUCCAGGCAGGCCAGCUCUAUUCGAGAGGAUACAGGCAAGCCGGGGAGAUGAAGGUGCAGGUCCUAAAUCCACCGAAGGUCGAGUGAUAGGUGGCCAGUCCCACAGACCUGCACACAGCUGGGCUCUGCUCUCCCUCCUUCCUCCACGCCACAGGGCUGGAAGGAAUCCAGGGAGCCCUUCCGAAAAUUCCUUUAGAGAACUGACCUCAUUUGAAGCGGACACUGAGCCUGGAGAAGCCUUUUACUUCUGGCCGGGUGAGUGUAAGUCGAAAUAAAGGCAAAGUCGUGCAUUUGAAGAUAAGUGUGAUAGUCCCCAGCACAGAGUGAGACCAUGGCAACACACAAGGACACAGGAGCUCCUGUCUCAUGACCAGAAAACAAAACCCAGCCAUGGUGAGUCAGGAGCACCGUGGGACAGAGAGUUCUCCUCGGUUUGGGUCAGGAUGCCUGAGCUCAGCAAGGAUUUAUUGACCUUCUACACUGAGUUCAGCAGAGCCAGUGAGAUGACAUUCUCACAUACUGAUUAUGCAUAGCGGGCUCAAGGGAACCACAGCUUUCUGGCCGCUGGCUCUGAUCAUCCUACGCAGCUUUCCUCAGAUGUCCCACACUCCUGGCUUCUCCAGCUCUCUGGGGUUUCCAGUCCAGGUUUGCCUUCACUCUCAGAGCUUCACACACUGCCCCCCAGAGCCACACUGCCUGGCUUCCAGGGGAAUGAAUCCCAGGAGGCCAGUUUCCCAGAUGACCUUUUUUUUUUCCGAAUAAAAAAACAGUUUUGUCGAGGUAUAAUUAACAUACAAUAAAUUGGACAUAUUCAAAGUAUACAAUUUGGUUUUGACAAAUGUAUAUAACUGUGGAAACAUCACAC
rnacentral:lncRNA from 1 species